UACGUAGGGUGCGAGCGUUGUCCGGAAUUAUUGGGCGUAAAGAGCUCGUAGGCGGCUUGUCACGUCGGUUGUGAAAGCCCGGGGCUUAACCCCGGGUCUGCAGUCGAUACGGGCAGGCUAGAGUUCGGUAGGGGGAGAUCGGAAUUCCUGGUGUAGCGGUGAAAUGCGCAGAUAUCAGGAGGAACACCGGUGGCGAAGGCGGAUCUCUGGGCCGAUACUGACGCUGAGGAGCGAAAGCGUGGGGAGCGAACAGG
rnacentral:rRNA from 1 species